rnacentral:rRNA from 1 species
AUGGGUGACAUGGGGUUUCGAGACAUGAUGUCCUUUAACAAGGAAUUGCUUGCUAAACAAGCGUGGCGUUUGUUGGACACACUGGAGAGUCUUUGUGCUCGCCUUCUAAAGGCAAAAUAUUAUCCCUCUAGACAGCUGCUCGAUACGGUGUUCUCGGGCAAUGGUUCAUCAGUGUGGAAAGGUAUACUGCAUGGCCUGGAUUUGCUCAAGAGAGGUGUGAUUUGGAGAGUGGGGAACGGGGCUAACAUCCGCACCUGGAGGGAUCCCUGGAUCCCCCGGCCAUCGUCGUUUCGCCCCAUCACUCCGAAAGGCACUUGCCGCCUGAACAGGGUAGCUUAUUUUCUUGAUGAAAAUGGGGCUUGGCGGGUGGAUCGUCUUCGAGAAUUUUUUUGGCCCAUGGACGUACUGUAUAUAACAAAGAUCAGAUCUUCGCCCUGUAUGCGGAAUGAUUUCUUGUCCUGGUUCCAGGAGAAGAGCGGGACCUUUACGGUGAAGAGU